rnacentral:rRNA from 1 species
UACGUAGGGGGCUAGCGUUGUCCGGAUUUAUUGGGCGUAAAGAGCGUGUAGGCGGCCAGGUAGGUCUGGUGUGAAAUCUCGAGGCUCAACUUCGAGCUGUCGGUGGAAACUGUCUGGCUAGAGUCCGGAAGAGGAGAAUGGAAUUCCUGGUGUAGCGGUGAAAUGCGCAGAUAUCAGGAAGAACACCCGUGGCGAAGGCGGAUCUCUGGGCCAUUACUGACGCUGAGGAGCGAAAGCGUGGGGAGCGAACAGG